UACAGAGACUGCAAGCGUUAUUCGGAUUCACUGGGCGUAAAGGGUGCGCAGGCGGUUGGGUGUGUCAGAUGUGAAAUCCCGAGGCUUAACCUCGGAACUGCGUCUGAAACUACUCGACUAGAGUACUGGAGAGGGAAACGGAAUUCACGGUGUAGCAGUGAAAUGCGUAGACUAUCGUGAGGAACACCAGAGGCGAAGGCGGUUUCCUGGACAGUUACUGACGCUCAGGCACGAAAGCAUGGGGAGCAAAAGGG
rnacentral:rRNA from 1 species